CGGUCAUAAUCAUAAAGGCGAGCAUAUGCACUUGCACCAGCAACAAUCAACUUUGGCCUAAAAAGAACGGCACUUUUCUCCAUCUGUUCAAAAGUAGCAAAUCAAGCUUAGAAGCACAUUGUAAUUCAUCUUGAAAUAAUUUGACUACUGAAGGAGACAUGAAACGAUAAAAAACAUACUAGAAAAUGAUGAAGAAACCAUUUAUUUUAGCUGAGAAAGUGCUGAAGAAAUAAUUUGACUACUGAAGGAGACAUGAAACACAAAAUGUAUACACUUUGUUCACUUGGCUAAACAUUCAUAUCUGUGUAAAAAUUACCAAGAGAUCCGAAUAAGCUGUUGACAUAAAAUAAAAUAAAUAAGAAGGAAAAGCCACCUGGUCAUAAUCAAUCAAGCCAGUACUUUCAUCCAGUCUGUAAGGCAUUGUCUCAAAAAAUAUUGAAACUGCUGAGAUCUUCUUAGUGUCAGUCUGCAAACAUCAAGAAGUAGAACCAAUGAGCCAUGGAAGUUCACGAACAUCAUAUCUGAAUAUAAUUAAGAGUUAUGGAAAAGUAUUACUCAUUAGUAUGUAUCCUAUAAUACAGUAUCAAGAGCAACCAUAAAAACUAAAGCAGCAGCAAACUGCAGUGACAAAAUAAAAGACAGCAAGCAAGGGCAGAUCAUGCUUGGCUGCUUGCAUGCCACCUAAGAAACACAAAAACAGUAAGCAGGUAAUAAAGAAGAUCC
rnacentral:lncRNA from 1 species